rnacentral:misc_RNA from 1 species
GCAAACUUGGUCAUUUAGAGGAAGUAAAAGUCGUAACAAGGUUUCCGUAGGUGAACCUGCGGAAGGAUCAUUACCAGGGGUUUUUUUCCCUUAAACCCAUCAAUCCACCGUGUGCACUCAUCAAAUCUCUUGGCCCAAAGGCUUACCUUCGGGUCAAGGGAUCAUUUUUCUAGCCUGAAAAUUUGUCUGAUCAAAUUGUAUUAAAUGUAUACAUACAACUUUCAACAACGGAUCUCUUGGCUCUCGCAUCGAUGAAGAACGCAGC